GGGGAAUAUUGGACAAUGGGCGCAAGCCUGAUCCAGCCAUGCCGCGUGAGUGAUGAAGGCCUUAGGGUUGUAAAGCUCUUUCAGUAGGGACGAUAAUGACGGUACCUACAGAAGAAGCCCCGGCUAACUUCGUGCCAGCAGCCGCGGUAAUACGAAGGGGGCUAGCGUUGUUCGGAUUUACUGGGCGUAAAGCGCACGUAGGCGGAUCGUUAAGUCAGGGGUGAAAUCCCAGAGCUCAACUCUGGAACUGCCUUUGAUACUGGCGAUCUUGAGUCCGGAAGAGGUGAGUGGAACUCCUAGUGUAGAGGUGGAAUUCGUAGAUAUUAGGAAGAACACCAGUGGCGAAGGCGGCUCACUGGUCCGGUACUGACGCUGAGGUGCGAAAGCGUGGGGAGCAAAC
rnacentral:rRNA from 1 species